AGGGAGAUGGCUCAGUGGUAGAGCACAGGAUUUACAUGUCUGAGGUCCCAAGUUUAUCCCUG
rnacentral:tRNA from 1 species